GCGAGUAUUCUAGCUACGUUUCAAAAUUUUUUAUAUAUACAUAAGUAUGUACGAGCAUUGACUAAAUAUAGAUUAGGCCUUGCAUCCAAUGCAAGAAGCGUCCACAAGCCGAGGGUUAUCUCAUUCAUAUCACAUUUUUCCAACCUACGAUCCGUUCUAGAUUUUUUGGUUUGGUUAUUCUUAUUGCUAAUUAAUACUAUUUUUAUUGCUAACUCUUACUUCACUGUAUUCAGGGAUCGUUUCAUUUCCUUUGGUUUUUGUCCUUGUUGUAGGGAUUUUCCUAUUGUAUUAUAUUGCACUUUGUUACAUUUCAACGUGUAGUCCUUCCUGAUUCGAGUUUUAUUUAUCUGUCAUCUACUUGUUUUCUCAGUCUUUCUAUUUCCCUUAUUCACUAUAUUCCUUUAACAUCUCCUGAGCUGUAUGAUAUACUUCCUAAUCUAAUCUCUUUCCAAAUUUCCCUAUCGAUUUCCCUACAGCUAUAUAAUAAAUGCUCCAAACAGCGUUCUGCUCCUUCACAUAACUUCCUAUCUAUAUUUCUUUCUCAUCUUCUUACGGCGAGACUUUAUAGCAAUGAAUCUAUGAGUAAUACACAGAUUAAAGAGCUAUUUAGACUUCAGUGGAAAAUUAGAAAGUGAUAGAAUACUUAGAUAGAAUUUUAGAAUACCCUAGAAUGUGACAGCUGCUGUACAGAAACUACUGUAUCGACAGAGGCCUUAAUAUGAUCAAUAUUGAAGAAUUAAUACACCAAAGAUACUGAUAAUAUAAAUACAUUCAAAUUUCAAUAAAUUUCUAAAACAGACCAGUAACUGCAAAUGGAUUAUAAAGGUAUUUAAAGCAAUUCAUAAUUUGUAUACAUUUGUUAAAAAAUAAAGAAAAUAAUAAACUGCAA